CAUGAGGUGGGGACUCACUAAGCUCAAAGUGGUCGACGCGCCGAGCGCUCAGCUAUACAAUGCCAAAAAAUCUAGUGAUGUAGAUGAUGGAAGGUUCCAGCUAUUCGUUAGCAACUAUAAAUAUUCAGACAUCAAUGAAAAUUAUAGAAAAAAAAUCAAAAAUUUGAGGCAAGCUCAAUACCACCGCAUAAGAGUGAGCUUUAUCAACAACUUUUGAGGGCCCACUAUAUUUCUUCUAUUUGGAGAAAUGCUUACAAAAAGCAACUCACAACUUUAGACCCAUUGGAGUAUGGUUGGAUUGAGCAGGACAACAUAUAUGCCUUCAAAGGGUUCGAAGGUGACCAACUUCCAUAUUUUGUGAGUGACUUAAUCACCAAUGUUCCUGGUAAGUUGAUAACAAUUCUUUCUCGAACAUGUUCAGAUGAAUUUACGUUCAUUUUACAAUUUAUGUUUUAUUUUUGCAGUAUUCGAUUCAAUCGUUGAUGAAGACGAGUCGCCUAACGAUAAAGAUGACUCCGAUGAUGAUGAUGAUGAAUGAAGAUUGAUAUAUAUAUAUAUAUAUAUAUAUUAUGUAAUGCAUGCAUGAUAUAUUUUUUUAACUGAUUUAACACUUUUAAAUUUUGUCUUGACGAAAUAAAAAUGAGGAAUUGAAUUCUUUUUUGAUCAGCA